rnacentral:lncRNA from 1 species
CGCGCUACUCUUCAAGUGGGUGGCUGAGUGGCCUGCCCCGGGCUCAGUGCGCUCGCUGAUUGGUUCGGCUCCACCUCGUGGCAAACCUGGCAGAAGUGAUGCAACGGCAGCGAAGGUUUCCCCAGCGCCCGCAUGCAGCAAGGGCGCCUCGGAUUGCGUCAGGCGGCGGGCAGUGGGCAUGGGCCCGGCGUGGUCACGGGCAGUGGGCUUCUCCUUGGCAACUCCUCCUGGCCCGGGCCAUGCAGGAGCCAUAGCUGGUGGGUUUAAGGCGAUGUCUCCUCAGCAGUCCUGCGGGUGAUGUGGCCGAGUCACUGCCACCCCAAGACUGUCCUGGGGCCGGAGCAGGACACAGCCAGAAUGAGCACUCUGGGCGUUGUAAACUCCUGAGAGCACGCACCCACGGCCGACAGCGAGGAAGCUGUAGGAAGCACCGUCCGCAUUCCACUCCGGUGCCUCACGCCGUUGGCUCGCGUGAGCAAAUGGAGAAACUGAGUCACGGGGGCGCGAAGGGGUUCUACAGAGGCUGCGGUUGAGUCAAGUCAGGCAGUCAAGGUUUGCAGACCUCACGUGAGGUCCACGUCCGGGCCGGGUGUGGAACCUCCUGAGCUCAGG